rnacentral:miRNA from 1 species
CGAGGUUUCACGUUUUCUAGGCC